UAACGGCAAGAAUUUUAUGGAUGUCAACUUCUUUAUUGUGAUGAACACGACGUUUCGGAGUAUAUUCCCACUCCUUCAUCAGAUGAAUGAAGAAGGCAGA